rnacentral:rRNA from 1 species
AGCGAACGCUGGCGGCAGGCCUAACACAUGCAAGUCGAACGGGCACCUUCGGGUGUCAGUGGCAGACGGGUGAGUAACACGUGGGAACGUGCCCUUUGGUUCGGGACAACUCCGGGAAACUGGAGCUAAUACCGGAUACGCCCUUUUUGGGAAAGAUUUAUCGCCGAAGGAUCGGCCCGCGUCGGAUUAGCUAGUUGGUGAGGUAACGGCUCACCAAGGCGACGAUCAGUAGCUGGUCUGAGAGGAUGAUCAGCCACACUGGGACUGAGACACGGCCCAGACUCCUACGGGAGGCAGCAGUGGGGAAUAUUGGACAAUGGGCGCAAGCCUGAUCCAGCCAUGCCGCGUGAGUGAUGAAGGCCCUAGGGUUGUAAAGCUCUUUUGUCCGGGAAGAUAAUGACUGUACCGGAAGAAUAAGCCCCGGCUAACUUCGUGCCAGCCGCCGCGGUAAUAC